UACGGAGGGUGCAAGCGUUAUCCGGAUUCACUGGGUUUAAAGGGUGCGUAGGCGGCUUUUUAAGUCAGGGGUGAAAGACGGUAGCUUAACUAUCGCAGUGCCCUUGAUACUGAAGAGCUUGAAUAUAGUUGAGGUAGGCGGAAUGUGACAAGUAGCGGUGAAAUGCAUAGAUAUGUCACAGAACACCAAUUGCGAAGGCAGCUUACUAAGCUAUGAUUGACGCUGAGGCACGAAAGCGUGGGGAUCAAACAGG
rnacentral:rRNA from 1 species